CGGCUGCUCAGUAACACGUAGUCAACUUACCCUAUGGACGAGGAUAAUCUCGGGAAACUGAGCAUAAUACUCGAUAGAUCAUAAUGCCUGGAAUGGUUUAUGGUUGAAAUGAUUCGUCGCCAUAGGAUGGGACUGCGGCCUAUCAGCUUGUUGGUGAGGUAAUGGCCCACCAAGGCGAUUACAGGUACGGGCUCUGAGAGGAGAAGCCCGGAGAUGGGUACUGAGGCAAGGACCCAGGCCCUAUGGGGCGCAGCAGGCGAGAAAACUUUGCAAUGUGCGAAAGCACGACAAGGUUAAUCCGAGUGAUCUCUGCUAAAGAAAUCUUUUGCAAGUCAUAAAACCACUAGUGAAUAAGGGGUGGGCAAGUUCUGGUGUCAGCCGCCGCGGUAAAACCAGCACCUCAAGUGGUCAGGAGGAUUAUUGGGCCUAAAGCAUCCGUAGCCGGCUCUGUAAGUUUUCGGUUAAAUCCAUGUGCUCAACGCAUGGGCUGCCGAAAAUACUGCAUAGCUAGGGAGUGGGAGAGGUAGACGGUACUCGGUAGGAAGGGGUAAAAUCCUUUGAUCUAUCGAUGACCACCUGUGGCGGAGGCGGUCUACCAGAACACGUUCGACGGUGAGGGAUGAAAGCUGGGGGAGCAAACCGGAUUAGAUACCCGGGUAGUCCCAGCUGUAAACGAUGCAGACUCGAUGAUGCAUUGGCAUAUAGCCAGUGCAGUGUCGCAGGGAAGCCGUUAAGUCUGCCGCCUGGGAAGUACGUACGCAAGUAUGAAACUUAAAGGAAUUGGCGGGGGAGCAG
rnacentral:rRNA from 1 species